CACAUACAUGAUACAUCUGACUUGCUUAUGAAGGCCUAUUUAUAGACAUAUAGUCCCACACAUUAAUUAUCAGUGCAUAGUUACACACACAUAUCGUUUCAGUACUCGAAUUUUUACGUUGAAGCACAGUUCAUUAGUGGGGAAACAGCCGGAUUGGAUUAACAAGGAGAUGUUAAAUAGAUUGAGGAACGCGGUAAAGAAGGUGAAAUUCUUGUUGAAUCUGAGCCUAUAUAGAUUUCGACUUGCUUCGAUCCUAAGUAAUAAAGCUUCUUCAUCAAGAAGGCGAACGCUUAGUCUUAAUGACAGGCAGGGACUUAGAGCGUGUUAUAACAGGAAUUUGCAGGUGUCAAGACGUGACAUGAAGAGUUGCUGACAAGACAAGACGUGAACCAUGAAGGCAGAAGAGCUGUUGAAUCCCUGAAGAAUCGGUCAAGCCAGUGGAUAAGCAUUGACCUAAUUCCAUGCAAGUCUGGUGUACGUGAUAAGCCACAAACCCACGUGGAGUAAAAGUAGGACUUGUUUGUUAGCAUUUUAUCUAUAUAAACGAUGUAAAUAGACGAGUUAGGCAGUAGAGAUCACACACUCAAACUCAGCUACAAAAAUAUUUGUACUUUACAUCAGAAAGAUAAUGAAACAUUUCUGGCAGGGCCGAGCCCUCCCGCGGUUUUUACCUUACAAGGGUUUUCCGCGUCACCAUUUUCUUGUGUCUUUACUUUAUAUGCAAUUUAAUUCUUUAGCAUUUAACCCCGCAAAAUCCAGCACGAACAGAGCGUACACUGAUGAUAAUCUCAUGAUUGAGAACUCGGCAGUUAAUUACGUAAGAACAUAUGACGACGGCAAAUCAACACCAACAUGGCUCCACGAGCCAAGGAGACAACCCCACAAUGCAGCAGAUGAUGGAAACAAUCCGAAAACUACAAGCUGACAUGAACGCUCAGCAGGAGGCGUGGAGGUCCGAAAGAGAGACAUUACAAUCUCAUGCCCAAGCCUUACAGAAAGAGCUCACGACAGCUAGGUCAAAGUCCAAUCCCACCUCGAAGGGAACACUGGCAAGCGUGGCGAGACGUUUAAACAUGGACGAGGAGGAGGAAGAAGAGUAUGACGAAGAGAUUGAGGCAGAUAAUCCCAACCCAAACCAGGAGAACCCAGAGCCGAACAACGGAACUGAGAAUGAAAUCCCAACAGGUGGACAUGGCAAUGGAGAGAGACGUGAAGGGGGGAAUAACCGAAAGAAGAAAGGGCACAAGUCAUCGAAGUCACGCAGCCGCGCGACUGAAACGAUGCGGAAAGAACUACAAGACUUGAAAAAGAUGGUACAACGAAUUCCAGGAGUACCUAAACCCCUAGAGAAGGCAGCACCCUUAAGCUACGCAGAUUCUCCCUUCUGUGACAACAUAACCAUGGUGGAAACGCCAAAACGCUUCGCGGUGCCACCCAUGAAAGCCUACGACGGCACGACCGAUCCACAAGAACAUGUGGCACAAUAUAAACAGAGGAUGUUUACUAUACCCAUCACGAGAGAACUCCAGGAGCCAUGCAUGUGCAAGGGCUUUGGAUCAACACUCACAGGACCAGCGCUUCAGUGGUUUGUCGGGUUGCCCAACGGGAGCAUUAAGACGUUCGCAGAUCUGGUUGACGCCUUCAAUCUCCAAUUUGCUAGCAGUCGAGUAUUUGAGAAGACCACGAGCGACUUGUACAAGAUCGUGCAGAGGUAUAGAGAACCGCUCCGGGAGUAUUUAACGAGAUUCAACCAUGAAAAGGUCACGAUAACAAACUGUGACAUCCCCACGGCUAUAGAAGCCUUCCGAAGGGGUCUGGAACGGGAUUCACCACUUUACGACGAGCUGACGAAGUAUCCAUGUCAAACCAUGGAUGAUGUGCAGGCCAAAGCCAUGGCCCAAGUGAGAUUGGAGGAAGAUAAGCAAGUGGACGACGAUAAAUACUACCGUCCCAACAGGAAGAUCACGACAUCCAGGAUACGAGACAACAGGCCUUACGCUAGGACAACGAGAGAGGACCCAAGGAUCAGUUCGACGCAAGAGAGAACAGACUGGAGGAAGGACCCCAACCUGCCGCCGACGUACGACAGCUAUGGCUUUACACUGACGCCGUCAGCCCUGAUGAGAGAAUUCACAAAGAUGGGGGAUAUUGUGAAGUGGCCUCCCAAGACGAAUAAGCCAAAGUCAAACCCAGACUCGAAAUUAUGGUGUGAUUUUCAUGGGGACUACGGACACCGCACCUAUGAUUGUGUAGCAUUGAGGAAAGAGCUACAAAUUUUGAUUAAGAAAGGAUACCUGACCGAGUUCAUGACGGGAAGCAAGUCAGCGCCCACUAGAGAAGACUGGACAUCUCCAGGACACCUGCCUCGUCCACCACACCAAAAGGUGAUCAACUUCAUAGCCGGAGGAUCAGAAGUUUCUGGCACAACGUACUCUCAGGCAAAACGCGCAGCAAGAGAAACCAACAUAAGAGUGUUCAGGACGGAGAUUUCGGAUUUUAGGACGCCGGCUUUGACGUUCGACGAGUCUGACAGGGAACACGUCACGGAACCCCAACAUGACAGUCUUGUCAUCUCGCUCUCUGUAGGAAACUGUUUGAUAAGACGCAUUCUGGUUGAUAAUGGAAGUGCAGCGAACAUUAUGAUGCUGGGAACAUUGCAACAGAUGGGCUUGACAGAAGAUGACAUGGUCAGGAAGACAACCACGCUAGUUGGCUUUAGUGGAGAAACUAAGAGGACAGUCGGAGAGAUUACGCUGCCAACAUAUGCACAAUGGUUAAAUCUCUUAACGAAGUAUGUGGUUAUGGAUGGAGAUUCAACAUACAACAUCAUCUUGGGGAGACCAUGGAUUCAUGACCUGAAGACGGUCCCCUCCACCUAUCACCAAGUUAUCAAGUUCCCGACACCAUGGGGGAUUCAAGAUAUUCAGGGAGAUCAAAGCGUUACAAGAGACUGCUAUAAAACCAGUUUAAGACACGCGGUGCAACACGAAGUAAGGGAAGCAACAGAGGCCACACUAAUAGAGCCUGAAAUACUGGUGGAGGAAAACUUGACAGGACGCAGUAAGAGAGUCACGACGGAUGACGGCUCAGCAAACACCUUAGAGGCCAAUCAGGUAGAAUUCCCAGACGAGACUAGAGAUAAGCUGAAUGACAUGAUGAACUCGACAACAACACCAAAAUCACUGACAGAGCAAACAACAUUCACCCUUGACAAGAGAGCAUGCCACUACUCGACAAUGCCAUUUGGAUUGCAGAAUACUGGAGGAACUUGUCAAAGCUACCAAAGCUUUAUCAACAAAAUGUCUCAAGUACAGAUGAAUCCAACAAUGGAAGUCGGCAUCGAAAACAUGGAUCUGACAGACUUUGUGGCUGACUUGACUCCAAGCCAACUACGACAAGAAGAGCAUGAAGAGGCUACAUCAAAAGUAGAAGCUCGACCCCAGGUGAUAGACGCCAAUGAGACCUCGGACAAGAACGACACAGGACAGGGGCUUGCACUCAAGUCGCCACAGGGGGAUACAAUGGCUACAGUUCAUAAGUCCGCCAACAUGUGCAAAACACCUUGCCAUGACAAGUCAAUGCAUGGACGCGACAGCUGUUAGUCAAUGGAAUUCAGAUACCAGGAAUCUGAAAUGCAUUACAUUUGAACUAGUAUCACAUGUAAUGCGACUUAUCUUUCCUUUGUUUUCCUAGUAGAAGUAGCGUAAUAAGUCGAUUAGGAAAUUUAUUUGUGCCAUGCCACCAGGAUUAUGUUUCGUGAUGAUUGCUAUAUUUAGUUGAUUUCGAAUAACAGCAUGUUUUCCUUCGCAUGAUUUGAUGACUUGCUUUAAUUUACUCUAUGUAGAUCAUGUAUGCCUAUGAGUGAUUUACAAACCAUAGAUGUUUAGACAUAAUAAUUUUUACUCCCUAUGACAUGAUAUUGUUUGAAUAAGACUUAUAAUAUGCCACUUAAAAUAGGAGGGCUGAUCACCCAUCCUAUUACAAUUAUUCGACUACGUUAACGACACUAUUGCCGACACCACAAAUAAUUAAUGAUGCACUAGGAUAUUAUCCAACCACAAUUACGAUUACGAGCUGAGUUUCAAGAGGGAAAGGCCUUUUAGCCAGCCUACGAAUGCAUGCAUCAACGUUUGAAAAUAAACAGAUUUGUCGAAUACAACAACGAUUGAAAACUAUGCGUUUGUCGAAUACGUAUAUGACGUGCAUCAACAUUUGAAAAUUAUUAAAUUUGUCGACUACUUAUUUACCAAUUUAUAAUUUACUUUGAAUUUAGAUAUUGUAUACUACAAAUCAACAUUCGACAUAUCGAUGACCAACAUAUGUUAUAUGUUGUAGACAACAAACUUAUUGGGGCUUCCCAUGAACUAACAAUCAAGAUGUGCGACAUAUUCAUUCUACAAAAGCUUGAUACUUAAACGAACAUAACGACAAUUAACAACGUCAAAAUCACGUAAAUAAAUAUAUCAGAAGCUACUUGUCUAGGACUGGACGCCUUUGGUGAUCCCGUCUAUGGCAGAUUGACGAUCCUCAUCGCCAUCUUUCGGAUCACCCAUAACGUGAGCAUCAUCCUUCUGAACAACUUGCGAAGACUGUGCAUCCAUCAAGGAGAUUCUGAUUAAAAGCUUGACGAGCAGCCGAAGUGGUCGAAGGAGCCUGCAGGACGAAAUAAGAGUGGGUGAUGGCGUAUGACAUGGAACGACUAUACGAUCUGGGAACGUAUCGGAAAUGGAGUCAAUGAGAGAGAUUUUAUUGAUUAAAUUGAUUAAAUAAAUCAAUAAAAUCUGGGGCUAUUGUUAUAACAGGAAUUUGCAGGUGUCAAGACGUGACAUGAAGGGUUGCUGACAAGACAAGACGUGAACCAUGAAGGCAGAAGAGCUAUUGAAUNCAGCAUGUUUUCCUUCGCAUGAUUUGAUGACUUGCUUUAAUUUACUCUAUGUAGAUCAUGUAUGCCUAUGAGUGAUUUACAAACCAUAGAUGUUUAGACAUAAUAAUUUUUACUCCCUAUGACAUGAUAUUGUUUGAAUAAGACUUAUAAUAUGCCACUUAAAAUAGGAGGGCUGAUCACCCAUCCUAUUACAAUUAUUCGACUACGUUAACGACACUAUUGCCGACACCACAAAUAAUUAAUGAUGCACUAGGAUAUUAUCCAACCACAAUUACGAUUACGAGCUGAGUUUCAAGAGGGAAAGGCCUUUUAGCCAGCCUACGAAUGCAUGCAUCAACGUUUGAAAAUAAACAGAUUUGUCGAAUACAACAACGAUUGAAAACUAAGCGUUUGUCGAAUACGUAUAUGACGUGCAUCAACAUUUGAAAAUUAUUAAAUUUGUCGACUACUUAUUUACCAAUUUAUAAUUUACUUUGAAUUUAGAUAUUGUAUACUACAAAUCAACAUUCGACAUAUCGAUGACCAACAUAUGUUAUAUGUUGUAGACAACAAACUUAUUGGGGCUUCCCAUGAACUAACAAUCAAGAUGUGCGACAUAUUCAUUCUACAAAAGCUUGAUACUUAAACGAACAUAACGACAAUUAACAACGUCAAAAUCACGUAAAUAAAUAUAUCAGAAGCUACUUGUCUAGGACUGGACGCCUUUGGUGAUCCCGUCUAUGGCAGAUUGACGAUCCUCAUCGCCAUCUUUCGGAUCACCCAUAACGUGAGCAUCAUCCUUCUGAACAACUUGCGAAGACUGUGCAUCCAUCAAGGAGAUUCUGAUUAAAAGCUUGACGAGCAGCCGAAGUGGUCGAAGGAGCCUGCAGGACGAAAUAAGAGUGGGUGAUGGCGUAUGACAUGGAACGACUAUACGAUCUGGGAACGUAUCGGAAAUGGAGUCAAUGAGAGAGAUUUUAUUGAUUAAAUUGAUUAAAUAAAUCAAUAAAAUCUUGGGCUAUUGUUAUAACUGGAAUUUGCAGGUGUCAAGACGUGACAUGAAGAGUUGCUGACAAGACAAGACGUGAACCAUGAAGGCAGAAGAGCUGUUGAAUCCCUGAAGAAUCGGUCAAGCCAGUGGAUAAGCAUUGACCUAAUUCCAUGCAAGUCUGGUGUACGUGAUAAGCCACAAACCCACGUGGAGUAAAAGUAGGACUUGUUUGUUAGCAUUUUAUCUAUAUAAACGAUGUAAAUAGACGAGUUAGGCAGUAGAGAUCACACACUCAAACUCAGCUACAAAAAUAUUU
rnacentral:lncRNA from 1 species